rnacentral:rRNA from 1 species
UAAGCCAUGCGAGUCGAACGAGUUUAGGCUCGUGGCGUACGGCUCAGUAACACGUGGAUAACCUACCCUUAGGACCGGGAUAACCUUGGGAAACUGAGGACAAUACUGGAUAGGCAAUUUUUCCUGUAAUGGUUUUUUGUUUAAAUGUUUUUUCGCCUAAGGAUGGGUCUGCGGCCGAUUAGGUAGUUGGUUAGGUAAUGGCUUACCAAGCCGUUGAUCGGUACGGGUUGUGAGAGCAAGAGCCCGGAGAUGGAACCUGAGACAAGGUUCCAGGCCCUACGGGGUGCAGCAGGCGCGAAACCUCCGCAAUGUGAGAAAUCGCGACGGGGGGAUCCCAAGUGCCAUUCUUAACGGGAUGGCUUUUCAUUAGUGUAAAAAGCCUUUGGAAUAAGAGCUGGGCAAGACCGGUGCCAGCCGCCGCGGUAACACCGGCAGCUCUAGUGGUAGCAAUUUUUAUUGGGCCUAAAGCGUCCGUAGCCGGUUUAAUAAGUCUCUGGUGAAAUCCUGUAGCUUAACUGUGGGAAUUGCUGGAGAUACUAUUAGACUUGAGACCGGGAGAGGUUAGAGGUACUCCCAGGGUAGAGGUGAAAUUCUGUAAUCCUGGGAGGACCGCCUGUUGCGAAGGCGUCUAACUGGAACGGUUCUGACGGUGAGGGACGAAAGUUAGGGGCGCGAACCGGAUUAGAUACCCGGGUAGUCCUAACUGUAAACGAUGCGGACUUGGUGUUGGGGUGGCUUUGAGCUGCUCCAGUGCCGAAGGGAAGCUGUUAAGUCCGCCGCCUGGGAAGUACGGUCGCAAGACUGAAACUUAAAGGAAUUGGCGGGGGAGCACCACAACGCGUGGAGCCUGCGGUUUAAUUGGAUUCAACGCCGGACAUCUCACCAGAGGCGACAGCUGUAUGAUAGCCAGGCUGAUGACUUUGCCUUUGACUAGCUGAGAGGUGGUGCAUGGCC